CCGGUACCCCCUGUAUAUAGCCUCCACAUUGACUCUGUACCGGUACCCCCUUUAUAUAGCCUCCACAUUGACUCUGUACCGGUACCCCCUGUAUAUAGCCUCCACAUUGACUCUGUACCAGUACCCCCUGUAUAUAGCCUCCACAUUGACUCUGUACCGUAAUACCCUGUAUAUAGCCUCCACAUUGACUCUGUACCGGGUGUUAUGGUACAGAGUCAAUGUGGAGGCUAUAUACAGGGUAUUACGGUACAGAGUCAAUGUGGAGGCUAUAUACAGGGGGUACCGGUACAGAGUCAAUGUGGAGGCUAUUUACAGGGUGUUACGGUACAGAGUCAAUGUGGAGGCUAUAUACAGGGGGUACCGGUACAGAGUCAAUGUGGAGGCUAUAUACAGGGUAUUACGGUACAGAGUCAAUGUGGAGGCUAUAUACAGGGAGUACCAGUACAGAGUCAAUGUGGAGACUAUAUACAGGGAGUACCGGUACAGAGUCAAUGUGGAGGCUAUAUACAGGGAGUACCAGUACAGAGUCAAUGUGGAG
ensembl:lncRNA